UUUAAUAAGAUAAUCAUUUGUAGCUAUGGUUAUUUGACAAUUUGGUUAAUUCCUCUAGGGGAACAGGCUGUUGAGGAGUUGAAUGGUGCAGUUGAAGAUAAGGAGGAAGCUCUCAAAGUAGAUGCUGCUGCUGAAGUUAAGUUGGCCUACUGUCCACCUGGAUGGCUUAAAUAUGAAUCACUCUCCUUUCAACAUGAGAUCAAUUCUGUCCUGGCUCAAUGCUGAGGUAAAUAUCAGAAUCAUAAAACAAAAGAUAGUAGGAUAAAGAAAAUGAUUUUUAAGAUGUACUGGAAGUAAAGAAUGGAAGGAAUUGACAAAGAAAUGUAAAAAAUGAAAUGUUUUCUCAGGACAAUCUCUGAUCAUUUAUAGGACGUUCUUUGUUUUCUAUUUUUCCUUUCCUUCCUCCCUUCUGUCACAUAAUUCAUGUAAUGGAGGUUAGGACUGAUCCAAAUGCAGAUAAGAGCUUUAUUAUAUUAUGAGAGACAGGCAGACAAAUCCAAAUUGUAAAACAUAGACGUGGUCAUAAACAGGCAAAGGUCAGGCAAUUGGCAAACAGGCAUAAACGAGGAAAAACAUAAUCGAAGAACAAGGGUGAGAACAAGAUUAAAACUAUAACACAUGAAACGAGGAACAAAGGCUUGAUAUAUGGGAACCUCAAAGUAAUACUUCGCGACGAACAAAGAGAGACACGAGGGGUUUAAAUACUAAACAUAAUCAGGGGUGAACACAAAACAGCUGAGACUAAUGAUGACACAUACGGUAAACAGCCAAUGACAAUACAGGGUCAGAGACAGGACAAACCAUAACAAAACACACAUGUCAAAAGAAAACAAAGUCAAUGUCACUGAAAACCUGGAAGUGUGUGCUUAUGCUUUGGGCUUUGGUGCGCGCUGCAUGCUCCAGUGCUUAGUGUGAGGGGAAAUUGUGACACCUUCCUUCCUUCCUUCCUCCUAAUUAUGUCUUUAGGCACAGUGUGUAGCUGAACAGGCAAGACUGUACAAAAUCUGUUAAACAUUCAAUGCAACGUUCUAAAUAAACCAAUAAACCAUUUAUAUAUUUAAAUAAACAUAUCUAUAUUCAUAUGCAAUAAAUAAUUAAUUAACUUAAUUGCUAAAUAUUUAAUUAAUUUGCUUCCAGUGGAUAAAAUUGGUUCAAAAAUUCUCUGUAAAACUUUAUAUUAUUUAAAUUCUCAAGGAUGAUUUCAUUAAAAUUGCUUAAAAAUGCUGAUAUGAGUCAAACUCAUGAAAUGUUUUGUAAUGCUCUAGUAGCCAUUAAUUGUUAUGUAAGGAAUUUAAUUUAUACAACAGAUGUUUAAACAAAAAUUUAAUAAGCAACUGAUAUUUCAGGCACAGUAUGGCAAAAUAUUUUGUUUAUUUUUGUUUUGCCGGGAAAAAAAGUUCCCAAAGAAACCACAGCUGGA
ensembl:lncRNA